rnacentral:lncRNA from 1 species
UUUAUAAAGAAAAGAAAAGUGGGACAGCGAAAGAGAGGGGUCAUCGGAGAGGAGAGCGAGGUUAUCUGAGCAACGACGACGGCCUCUUUCGUUGCUGUUGUCGGAACCAGUUGUCGGUUUUUGUGGUGGCUAGCGAGUUGGUCUUGAAGAUUGCUACGAUCAAUUAGAGUUUUUUUAUAGCAAUGGAUUCCAACCGGCUUGAUGAUAAGAUUGACGACAAGAGGUACGAUAACGAGCGACGAUCCAUCAACCAUCAAUCGGUAUUUAAGUUUUCCAAUAAAGACCUUGAUUUUGUAAUGUCUUGUUGAUUAUGUAUGUUUUUUAUAUUAUGGGAAACUACAAAUACACAUUUAUUUAUUUUUAAGAAUUUGCAACCAAAUCAAAGACUGCAUAAAAUUAGCGAUCUGUUCAAGAAAGUCAUAUAAUAUGCAUGUUUGAUUUGAUUUAGGGUUAAAUCUAGGUUUCAUUUCUAGGCUGAGAGAAUGGUGUUUGGAGUUGGCUUUUUUAGGGUGUCCAAUGUCAUUGAAGACUCCUAAAGCUGGUCGUUGGUUAUUUGUAAAGAUUGUCAUGAAAAUAAUUGGUAUAAUCAUUGGAAGAAAUGUUCACUUCUGAAUUCCCAUCGCAUCGGCUACAACCUCGCCGAUGGUAUGUAUUGCUUAGAGUUCUUUUUGUACCAACAAGCACCCAGUUUCAACUAGGUAUCAGUCACAUGUCACCGAUUUUCAUCAUGUAAUAGCAAUUACCAAUUAUCUACUGUAUAGAAUUGAGUAGCGACUGAAGUUGUUUGGUUUGAAUUUUAGGUUUUGAGAAGUAGUUUGAGGUCAUUGCAAAGAAAUUGUUGCUAUAAAACACUUAAAAUUAGUUUCAGCAUUACCAUAUGUAUUAGACUUUGUUUCAAGGUUCAAUACGAGUUACAAUGAACGCCAACUUAUUUGUUUGAGUCUUGCAUUUUAUGUUGUUCGAAAGGCUUAAUUUAGUUAGGAGUUAAAGUUUUACGUUGUUCCAAAUGCUUAAUUUAGUUAGGAAUUAAAAGGGUUUAGAAAGAAAAGGUUGGAGUUUAGUUUUUCGGUUUAGAUCCACCUUAAAAUGGUAUAGAUUAGUCAUAUUUAGGUGUGUGAUACGAGUUUCGGGCUUAUUCCGAAAGGGGUUAUGAAACCAAUUUGCACAAGUUAGUAGUUUGAAGCCAUUGUAGAGAAAUUGGUGCUAUAAAACAUGUAAAAUUGGUACCAUAUUACCAUGUAUACUAGACUUAGUUACAAUGUUCAUUUCGAGUUAAAAAAAACUUAAGUGAUAAGCAGAUGGUAAAUAUGUAAACGUAUUGACAUUGUUUAAUCUCCUUUUGGCAUCAGAUUGAAUUGUUUUGCAGUGAAUGCUGGAGCCCAAAGCAUAGUGGAACCAAAUUCAAGUAUAAGUAUUUUGAAAGGGGCGAUGUGUUACAAACGAAUGAGUUAAAAAAUUCACUUAAAUUUAGCUCAAACUAUUAUGAGUUGUUUGUUAGCAAAAAACUCAACUAAGUGAACCACCCAAUAGAGCCCACAUAAGAAGCCCAACUUCAACUGUAUGUACUAUGUAAUGCAUUACUUGUGGUUUUUGGAGAUCUAAAAUACAAUAGUCGUUAAUGCCCACAGUUCGGCACAUCAGUUGGUCUUUCAUCGACACAAAUUUUUAUUUUGGUCAUUACACUUCGUUUUACAAUAGUGUUUGAAAGUGAUACAGUAGUCACUAACGCCCACAAUUCGACACAUCAGUUGGUCUGUCGUCGACGUAAAUUUUUCUUUUGGUCAUUAUUCGUUUUAUAGUAGUGUUUGAAAGUGUUCUAUUACUCGAUUUGUAAUGUUAAUUUUCGAUAAAUAAAUUGUUAUAUUUGUUGGGCAUCUAGCGGUGAAAGUAUG